rnacentral:rRNA from 1 species
CCUACGGGCGGCUGCAGUGGGGAAUAUUGCACAAUGGGGGAAACCCUGAUGCAGCGACGCCGCGUGAGCGAUGAAGUAUUUCGGUAUGUAAAGCUCUAUCAGCAGGGAAGAAAAUGACGGUACCUGACUAAGAAGCCCCGGCUAACUACGUGCCAGCAGCCGCGGUAAUACGUAGGGGGCAAGCGUUAUCAGGAUUUACUGGGUGUAAAGGGAGCGUAGACGGGGGUGCAAGCCAGGUGUGAAAGCCCGGGGCUCAACCCCGGGAGUGCAUUUGGAACUGUGGUGGUAGAGUGUCGGAGAGGCAGGCGGAAUUCCUAGUGUAGCGGUGAAAUGCGUAGAUAUUAGGAGGAACCCCAGUGGCGAAGGCGGCCUGCUGGACGAUGACUGACGUUGAGGCUCGAAAGCGUGGGGAGCAAACAGGAUUAGAUACCCGGGUAGUC